rnacentral:lncRNA from 1 species
AAGUCACAGCACAAAAAGUGGUCAACGACAAGCUACAUAAUGAAAAUUAAUUAUUAAUACAUAAUGAAAAUUAAUAUUAAUACUAUUUAUAUCACAUUCAUAUUAUAGCCAUAUUUUAUACAAGAUGUUUUCAAUUUGUCAUAUUUAAUUUUCCUCCAAAGUUAAAAACAUAUGCUUCCAAAAGCUGCAUUAUAUUUAUCUUUUAUAUUAUGUAUAUGAUAUUCCUUUGUUUUCUUUGUUUUAUUAUGUUUAUCUUGGCGCAUUGCCCUGUAUUAUAUUUAUCUUGGCAUAUUGCCCUAUGGGUAUUUCUUGCAUAGUUUGCAAGUUCUUGUGUGGCUGGCGAGUCCCACACAAGCUCUUUGCAUUGUUUCUUGCGUAGUUUGCAGUGUUAAACCUUGAGCUCCCACUGUCACAUGAGUUCAGUCAGAGUCUGAGAUUCAUUCAGGUCUCAGUGGUCCCCUUGGGAAGCUCAGAGCUUCACCGGAGCCAAUGGAGGAGAAAUAGAACACUUAGCACUUUGUCGAGAUGAGAAAGAUGAGGAGGCAUUUCCAGCCUGGGGCAACAGUCCCAGGCUUAGUCUCUGGGGGACACCAGGGGUAGAGCUGUGUCCUCCUGGGGAGUGUGGAAGAGCUGCAUUUGGGGUCAGGCCUGGGGCAUGGUGGUCCCCCCCAGAAUGCAAGAGGCGGCUGGAGACAGUGGGAGUGGUGAGAGGUCUAACAGUGAGUGACAGGGACGCACUUGACUUCCCCAUUUUUCCAAGUGAUGGAUGGACCCCGUGGGCAUUAACAACUCUUGCAAGAUGAGAUUUAUGCACACCCUCUAACCUCUUUUGCUUUGGGGGGACACCACGCAAGUUAUUAUGAGCCCAUAUAUUUUUCUAGAUCCGGAGAUCAGGGAUUGGCAAACUGAGGCUCAGCCCCUGCCCACAUCACCUCUUUUAGAAAGUCAAGUUUUAUGGGAAUACAGUUUCUGCUGAGUUGCUGGCAUGUUGUCCAUGGCUGCUUGUCCCUGAUAACAACGAAUCUGAAUAAUUGUGACAAAAGCUUUAUGGUCCACCAAGCCUAAGAUAUUUAUCUGGCUAUUUAUAGAAAAAGACCCCUUUAUAUAUAUAUAUAUAUAAUUUUGCUUUCUUUUUUUAGGACUGCACCUGCAGCAUAUGGAUGUUGCCAGGCUAGGGGUCCAAUUGGAGCAGUAGCCGCCGGCCUGUGCCACAGUCACAGCAACGAGGGAUCUGAGCUGCAUCUGCGACCUACACCACAGCUCAUGUCAAGGCCGGAUCCUUAACCCCUGAUUGAGGUCAGGGAUCGAACCCGCAACCUCAUGGUUCCUAGUCAGAUUCAUUUCCACUGCACCAUGACGGGAACUCCCAAUUCUUUUUUUCAGAAAUUCACUUGAAGACUCCUCAAGCCUCAUGAGGGGAGGGCUGUCUUACCUUUAAGAGAUUCUGCAGCCUUUCCCCGAACCCCCUCGAAGUGGGCUGGGUAAGCCUGUCAGGAUCCUGGGCACAGCUGGCAUUCCCGCAGAACUUCCUAGGUCAGGGUCUGGCUCAGCGUUGUAACAGUUGCUCACACCCUCCAGCUGGCAAAAGUUCUACUGGGAAGAAUUCUGCUUUAUCUCUGUUCAUCUUUAUCAUCAGUUCUUCCUCCAAAUGUUGCUUUUUCUCCCUUUUAGAACCUCCAAGUGAGCACAGAGUUCUGGGCUCAAUCUCCACCCCUUCCCUCUUCUUUGAUCCUCAGCAGAGAUGGUGAAGAGAGCUAGGUAGCACAUUUUUUCCAAAAUACAUAGUCUUCACGUAAAAGGACUUACUGCCCCAUCCCAUCCACAUGGCUUUAUGCAUUUAUUCGCCUUCCUCUCCUUUGAAAUCCAGAGCCCCUGGGGGUCCUUAACAGCCUCCUGCCUUCCUCAAGUCAUAGAGGCAUCUCUCAUUCAGGCUUUGGGAUGAAGUCAGUGUGACUCACAGGGGUUCAGCACAGUUUGAGGGUCUGGAUGCUCGACUUGCAAUGCUCAGCACACUUUGGGGCCUCCAUCUUCGCUGUUAUGCAGAAGGUUUCCAGAAAAUGUGCUGUAAUUCCCGUGGGUCUCAACUGUUACAGGACCUAAGCUGAAGUUGGGGGUGGAACUUCACAACUAGCAGUCUAAUUGUACCCAGGCAUGUGGCAAAUUCGAAUUUAAUUACGGCUGACUUUAAAUAUCACAGAGGUCCAACCCAAUGCAUAGAACCAGCAACAGGGAUGGGUAUAGCAGUGGAAAAUGGGUUUAUUUAUAGCAGAUCCCCAGACUGGCACUGGCUAUCUGGGCCCCAUCAGUCUGGCUGGCGUCAGUGCAGACUCUGGCACCUGCAAGUCCAUUCAUGAAACCGAGGCUGUGGAGGUGGAAGUUGGGGUGAACAUUAUGUGCUGGGUUUUGUCAAUUUGCAAGGCUCUCCUUAGGCCCCUUCUAACAACUGCGGUCUGUUCAUUUUAACCCCCACCUACUUGGAAAGCAGGCCUGCCUUGGGCUGGAUUAGGGUGUCAGAAAAUGGGAGUUCCCAUUGUGGCUCAGCAGGUUAAGCGCCCAACUAGUCUCUGUGAGGAUGUAGGUUCGAUCCCUGGCCUUGCUCAGUGGGUUAGGGAUCUGGCGUUGCCGUGGCUAUGGUGUAGGUCUCAGCUGAAGCUCUGAUUCGACCCCUAGCCUGGGAACUUCCAUAUGCCCCAGGUGAGGCUAUAAAAAGAAAAAGAAAGAAAGGAAGGAAGGAAGGAAGGAAGAAAGAAAGAAAGA